GGAGGAAAAGAAACCAACAGGGAUUGCCCUAGUAACGGCGAGUGAAGCGGCAACAGCUCAAAUUUGAAAUCUGGCGCAAGCCCGAGUUGUAAUUUGUAGAGGAUGCUUCUGGGCAGCGGCCGUUCUAAGUUCCUUGGAACAGGACGUCAUAGAGGGUGAGAAUCCCGUAUGUGACCGGCGCGCACCCUCCACGUAGCUCCUUCGACGAGUCGAGUUGUUUGGGAAUGCAGCUCUAAAUGGGAGGUAAAUUUCUUCUAAAGCUAAAUACCGGCCAGAGACCGAUAGCGCACAAGUAGAGUGAUCGAAAGAUGAAAAGCACUUUGGAAAGAGAGUUAAAAAGCACGUGAAAUUGUUGAAAGGGAAGCGCUUGCAACCAGACUUCGCGGCGGUGUUCCGCCGGUCUUUUGACCGGUCUACUCGCCGCCGCGAGGCCAACAUCGUCUGGGGCCGCCGGAUAAGACCAUGGGAAUGUGGCUCCCUCGGGAGUGUUAUAGCCCACGGUGAUGCGGCGUGUCCCGGGCGAGGUCCGCGCUUCGGCAAGGAUGUUGGCGUAAUGGUUGCCAGCGGCCCGUCUUGAAACACGGACCAAGGAGUCUAACAUCUAUGCGAGUGUUCGGGUGUCAAACCCCUACGCGUAAUGAAAGUGAACGGAGGUGGGAGCUUCGGCGCACCAUCGACCGAUCCUGAUGUCCUCGGAUGGAUUUGAGUAAGAGCAUAGCUGUUGGGACCCGAAAGAUGGUGAACUAUGCCUGAAUAGGGUGAAGCCAGAGGAAACUCUGGUGGAGGCUCGCAGCGGUUCUGACGUGCAAAUCGAUCGUCAAAUUUGGGUAUAGGGGCGAAAGACUAAUCGAACCA
rnacentral:rRNA from 1 species